UGCGUUNUGAACUGGGUAGCUAGAGUAUNUCAGAGGGGGGUAGAAUUCCACGUGUAGCAGUGAAAUGCGUAGAGAUGUGGAGGAAUACCGAUGGCGAAGGCAGCCCCCUGGGAUAAUACUGACGUUCAUGCUCGAAAGCGUGGGUAGCAAACAGGAUUAGAUACCCUGGUAGUCCACGCCCUAAACGAUGUCGAUUAGCUGUUGGGCAACUUGAUUGCUUAGUAGCGUAGCUAACGCGUGAAAUCGACCGCCUGGGGAGUACGGUCGCAAGAUUAAAACUCAAAGGAAUUGACGGGGACCCGCACAAGCGGUGGAUGAUGUGGAUUAAUUCGAUGCAACGCGAAGAACCUUACCUGGUCUUGACAUGUACGGAAGAACUCAGAGACGAGUUUGUGCCUUCGGGAGCCGUAACACAGGUGCUGCAUGGCUGUCGUCAGCUCGUGUCGUGAGAUGUUGGGUUAAGUCCCGCAACGAGCGCAACCCUUGUCAUUAGUUGCCAUCAUUUAGUUGGGCACUCUAAUGAGACUGCCGGUGACAAACCGGAGGAAGGUGGGGAUGACGUCAAGUCCUCAUGGCCCUUAUGACCAGGGCUUCACACGUCAUACAAUGGUCGGUACAGAGGGUAGCCAAGCCGCGAGGUGGAGCCAAUCCCAGAAAACCGAUCGUAGUCCGGAUUGCACUCUGCAACUCGAGUGCAUGAAGUCGGAAUCGCUAGUAAUCGCAGGUCAGCAUACUGCGGUGAAUACGUUCCCGGGUCUUGUACACACCGCCCGUCACACCAUGGGAGUGGGGGAUACCAGAAGUAGGUAGGGUAACCGCAAGGA
rnacentral:rRNA from 1 species